rnacentral:lncRNA from 1 species
GCCACAUCAGUUCCCUGUUGCCACGGUGCUGCCAGCCUGCCAUUCCACUGCCUUGGAUUCGGUUGUGGCGUGGGCUGGGAACCGUAGAGUUUUGUUCCGAUGUGUCGUUCAAGGCGGAGGUUUGGUCGGCUGACGUUAGGUAUGAGCAGCUCCUGAGACUGUCUAAGUUACUCACCACUAUGACCAGUUUGAUGGAUGGAUGGAUGCUACUGUGUGAUGAAGGCCCUGUUUGGAUACUCUAACUUAGCUAGAGGUUAGAGGUUAAAGUUAGUGCUACUGUGUGAUGAAGGCCCUGUUUGAACGGUAGAGUUAGCAGGAUGGAUGAAUGCAGGUCAUGUGUCGUGAACUAAAGCCACGAUACUUAUCUCGAACAGAGGGAGUAUAUUUUGGAACGGAGGGAGUACAUAUGUAUGUAUGGAUAUCAUGGUCAUGUUGCUUUGGGGUUCAACCUCUUUUUGGAUUAAAAAAGAGGGGCGAUGCCGAUGAUGAUUACUGUGGCUGAAAUAAUCAUGUCUUGAGACAUCAAGACAGCCAUGGCGAGGUGGGACUAAAUAGUGCCUGAAAAUUGGUGUCUGUGUUGGAGUUGCUCUUAGAGCCCACCCUUACCUCUGUUGCAGCCUGUCCAAUUCAUCGCCAAUGUUGGAUGUUCUGUGCCUUGGACGGUCGUUCUGAUGAGUGAUAACCAGGGCAGUUCUCUUACAUUGUGAUGGGUGGAUUAUGCUGCAAGAGAUGUGAGUGUUGGGUUUGAAGAUGAAAUGCAAAACUGAGCCNNNNNNNNNNCUUGCUACGUUACAUAAACUCGGUUCAGUUGCAUUUUGUUCUGGAUCUGGGAUGGAUCCUCCUCCUCUCUCUCUCUCUCUCUCUCUCCCUCCCUGCGAAGAAGAAGAAGAAGAACAAACCAGUCAAGCUCUCAUUGCCGACUCGCUGACCCGUCGUCUGGGUGGCUGCCACAUCAGUUCCCUGAAUCUACGGUGCUGCCUGCCACUGCCAUUCCAUUGCCUUGGAUUUGGUUGUGGGGUUGGCUGGGAACCGUACAGUAUUGUCUGAUGUGUCGAAUGAGCCGGAGGUUUGGUCAGCUGAUGCCGGGCAUGAGCAGCUCCUGAGACUGAGACUAGUCAUAGGUGGGAGUAACUUAGGUUUUAGUUCAAUUUGAACUUGAACUAAAACCACAACAGGAAUUAUGUAACGGAGGGAGUAACAUACAUGCCACAUACGCAAAAAAGGUGGUGUGACAAGUAAUUAAAGAGGAUGGAUGGAUGGAUGUGUGCAUGCAUGUAAUGGGUAUCGUGGUCAUGUUGCUUGGUGUAUAGAGCCCAGCCGAGGGAUCAACCUCCUUUUUGGGAAAAAAAUGAGGGGCGAUGAUGAUGUCACCGGCCGACAUAAUCAUGCCUUGAGCAAUCAAGACAGCUGUGGUGUGUGGGUACUAAUUAGAGCCGGAAUCGGUGACCUCGUUGGAGAUGCCCUUAGAGCCCACCCUUACCUCUCUUGCAGCCUGUUCAAUUCAUCUAUGAUGUUGUAUGUUCUGUGCCUCGGACGGUCGUUCUGAUGAGUGAUAACCAGGGCAGUUCUAUUACAUCGCGAUGUGUGGAUAGCAAGAGAGUGAGUGCUGGGUUUGAAGAUGAAAGAUAAAACUGAGCCAUCAAUUUUUCACCGUUUAGUUGCAUCUUGUUUUGGAUUCGGUAUGGAUCCUCCUCACCUCUCUCUCUCUCUCUCUCAAACCCUACGCUCUCAUUGCCAACCCGCUGACCCAUCGUCCGGGUGGCUGCCACAUCAGUUCCCUGUUACUACGGUGCUGCCAGCCUGCCAUUCCAUUGCCUUGGAUUCGGUUGUGGCGUGGGCUGGGAACCGUAGAGUUCUGUUCUGAUGUGUCGUCUGAGACGGAGGUUUGGUCGGCUGACUCCAGGUAUGAGCAGCUCCCGAGACUGUCUAAGUUACUCACCACUAUGGCCAGUCUGAUGGAUGGAUGGAUGCUACUGUGUGAUGAAGAGAUGGAGUUCUUACAGGGGCGAUGAUGAUGACCAUGGCUGAAAUAAGCAUGCCUUGAGCAAUUAAGACUGCUGUGGCCUGUGGGUACUAAAUUAGAGCGCACCCUUACCUCUCUUGCAGCAAUUCAAUUCAUAGCUAAUGUUGGAUGUUCUGUGCCUUGGACGGUCAUUCUGAUGAAUGAUAACCAGGACAAUCCUCUUACAUCGCAAUGGGUAGAUUAUGCAGCAAGCUAUGUGAGUGUCAGGCUUUAAGAUGAAAGGCAAAACUGAGCCCUCUUUCGCUACGCUACAAAUAUUUGAUUUUACCUUCUUUAAUAUGCAUUGUUUUUUUUUNNNNNNNNNNNNNNNNNNNNNNNNNNNNNNNNNNNNNNNNNNNNNNNNNNNNNNNNNNNNNNNNNNNNNNNNNNNNNNNNNNNNNNNNNNNNNNNNNNNNUCUCUCUCUGUCUCUCUCUUUCCCCGCCCAGCAACAAAUAGCCGUAACUGGUAACUUGCUGUAGAGCAAGGCCUCCUAGUAUAACGACUAACUGUCUAACUGGGCAAAGUUGAAUGGAACCAAUCUCAGGAUAUGUUGAAAGAUCUCCAACACCAAAGGGGAGGAAAUCAUCAUAGCCAUUCAGAAAAGAAUAGAACUCAUCAACACACAACAGAAACAAAUAUGCUGUGUUCAGAAGACAUCAAUCCAAGUCCAGAUGGGCCGUUACUCACAUCAACACAAUAUAGAGGAAUAGAAAAAAAAANNNNNNNNNNUUGUGUUCAGAAGUUAAUUUGGACCACUAUGCUGAUGGCCGUAUUACUGACAAUGAAAGAAGCGAUUUACAUUUGUUCACUUAAAAUAAAAGGAGUAACUGCAAGCCAAAUAAAAAAAGGACAAUAUAAAUUUUCCAUUUUGGAACAAAAGAAAAACAUAAUAAGAUAGAUAUCCAAGUCAAAAACAAUAGUGUGUUCGACAUAUAUAGUUUGUACAACUAUACAAGCAAAAACAACGCCAGCUAUGUAUCCAUCUCGAAUCCAAAACAACAUGCAACUGAGCUGAGUAUAUGUAGCGUAGCAAAAGAGGGCACAGUUUUGCAUUUCAUCUUCAAGCCCAACACUCACAUCUCUUGCUUCAUAAUCUACCCAUCACAGUGUAUGAAAACUGCCCUGGUUAUCACUCAUCAGAACGACCGUCCAAGGCACAAAACAUCCAACAUUGGCGAUGAAUUGGACAGGAUGUAAGAGAGGUAAGGGCAUCCUCCAACGUCAAGAUCGAUUUUCAGGCAUUAUUUAGUCCCACCUCGCCAUGGCUGUCUUGAGGUCUCAAGACAUGAUUAUUUCAGCCACAAUCAUAAUCGUCAGCAUCGCCCCCCUUUUUUAUCGAAAAGAGGUUGAACCCCCAAGCAACAUGACCAUGAUAUCCAUAUAUACAUACUCCCUCCGUUCCAAAAUAUGCUCCCUCCGUUCCAGAUAAGUAUCGUGGUUUUAGUUCACAACACAUGACCUGCAUCCAUCCAUCCAUCCAUCUUGCUCAGGAGCUGCUCAUGCCUGGCCUCGACCGACCAAAACUCCAGCACCGACGAAGCAUCAGACAACACCGUACGGUUCCCAGCUCAAUCGCACAGCCGAAUCCAAGGCAAUGGGACGGCGGUGGCUGGCAGCACCGUAGCGGUGGGAACUGACGCAGUGGUCACCAGGACGAUGGGUCAGCGAUCCGGCAACGAUAGCUCGCCUGAUUUGGUUUAGGGUUUGGGUCUAGUGGUGUGAACUGCACGCACGCAUGCACCGAGAGAGAGAAUGAGGCUCUGUUUGAUAGCUCAGUUUUUUCUAAGUAUUAUAAGCAUACUACAGUUUUUUAGAAUACCAUGAUUUUAAUUACUGUGAGCUGUUUGGCAGCCCAAAAACUGUAGUAUGGCCAAAACUGUGGUAUUUUAUUUGUGUAAAAAGAAGAAUCCCAGAUCUGCGGUAUGCACAUUAAGCAAUAUAAAAAUCAUAUCGCUAAAAAAAAAAAAAGAACCCCAGACCUCUUUCUUUAAACAGAGCAAGCGAAAAGAGGCAUCGCACGCACACUUUAUUUUCUUCGCUGCUCCACCCACCGCUCCGCUCCGGCCACCGGCCCUGCUCCACACGCCUCGACUGCGUGCCAGAAGGUGGGCAAGCAGUCCCGUCGGCCAUUUCGUAGCUCCGCCUGCUGAGACACCUACACCAUGUUGUGAACCAUGCUCAUUGAUAAUCUACAAGUCUUGUGCAAGGCUGUUCUUCAUGCAUGUGGCUACCUGCUUCUACAGUUUGCGUGCAACGGCUUGACACUAUCAAACAGGUAGCCUGUAUUGCUGAUACUUCAAAAUUCUUUAAUAUGUAAAAACUGUGGUAAAUUAUGCCAACAGUCAAAAAUACUGUAGUUUUUCAAUACUUCGGUUUUUAGAAUACUUGUGCGAGAGAGAGAAAUGGGGAUCGUACCGGAUCCAGAGAAAAACGCAGCAAGGUUGCAAGAAAUCCAUCGACAGCGGCUCAGAUCCCGCUCGGCCCCCAGCUCGGACGGCCAUGGACGCCCACCCGCACUGGCGGCAGCCCCGAGGGGCCUCCAAGCCGAUGCGCGAUCCGACGAGGCAGGAGGGGGCCGGCGCCGGCGGCCCACUCCAUCCUAGGGAGGGACACGGCCCCAACCGAGGCGCGCGAUCAUCAGCCACGGCGAGCGGGGCGGGCGCGGCGACGGGAUGGCAAGCAUCAAUGGUGGAAGUUAAGGAGGACUACAAUGGCAAAUAUCAACUGAAAAAUUGAUAAUGGAUACGAAAAUUGGACCAAAAAACUGAAAAAUGGCAUCAAUAAGAAUCUGCUUUUAAAUUUGUUCAAUAAAAAGAUUUCACACCAUCUCACCUUUCCAGAAGGUGCACACAAAGAACCAAAGUCAUAGUUUUUUUUUUUUUUGAGACAAACCAAAGCCAUAGGUAAUGACAGGUUUCUUUUUCAAGCUACAGGCCGACAAUGCACAGAAUAUAUAUAACUUAAUUUUCACAAUGAGCCCAUGACCAUUCACAGUUGCCAAACGGGCAUUCUUCAAAUCAAGAAGAAACAAAGAAAAGUUAGUAGGGAAAUCAAGCUGUUUUCUGGAGGAUAUUCCAGAAGUUCUCACUGAUCAAAUUACUAUAAUCAAACAGUAGUAGAAGUAUCAAACACAGGUGUCAUAACAAACACAUGCACGAGGAAUAGUUCGUGAAAUCCAGGAAAAUUGUAGAGUAUUACUUGAAUGGCUCAGAUUUAACCCACCAUAAAUCACCAAAGUUGGACAACGCUUCAGGUAGUACUUGAAGCCUUAUGGUACCAAACAACAACAACAACAACAACAACAACAAAGCCUUUCAGUCCCAAACAAGUUGGGAUAGGCACGUGGAUAGCUAAUUUCCAUGCACCCCUGUUCAUUGCUAGUUCUUUGGUGAUAUUCCAAUCCUUCAGGUCUCCUUACCANNNNNNNNNNNNNNNNNNNNNNNNNNNNNNNNNNNNNNNNNNNNNNNNNNNNNNNNNNNNNNNNNNNNNNNNNNNNNNNNNNNNNNNNNNNNNNNNNNNNNNNNNNNNNNNNNNNNNNNNNNNNNNNNNNNNNNNNNNNNNNNNNNNNNNNNNNNNNNNNNNNNNNNNNNNNNNNNNNNNUUCCUAGUAUAACUACUAACUGUCUAACUGGGCAAAGUUGAAUGGAACCAAUUUAGGAGACAUGAAAGCAUCUAUAUCUCAGGAUAUGUUGAAAGAUCUCCAACACCAAAGGGGAGGAAAUCANNNNNNNNNNNNNNNNNNNNNNNNNNNNNNNNNNNNNNNNNNNNNNNNNNNNNNNNNNNNNNNNNNNNNNNNNNNNNNNNNNNNNNNNNNNNNNNNNNNNUCUUUUAAAAUGCCCAACUAUUUCUUAUAGUUGGGAAUAUUUUUUUCAGAAGGGGUCAAAAGCAUUUAUUAUAUUUUAUUUUUUGUUAAAAGCCUUUCUUUAUUUUAAGAUUUCCGUUUUAAAAGGAUUUAAAAAAACAAAGGGGGAGGACCCCAGGCCAAGGCCCAGCAGGCCAAGGCCCACGCCUCCCCUCCCCAGCCCUAGCGUCGCGAGCCAGCCCCUCGAUCUCUCCUCCCGCAGCGCCGUCGUCCUCAGCGCCAUCUCCCUCCUCUCGUUCCCCUGUGCCGAGUCCCAGCCCCGCCGCCAGUAGCUCCUCUGCGCCGCCUCCAUGGCCUCGGCGUCGCCCCUGCUUCCCAGGCCGUCGCCCCUACCUUGCCUCCGGUCGCCGCUCGCAGGCCCCGCGCGCCGCAGCCUCCAGCAGCUGCUCCGUCCCUUGCCCAGCGCCUCCCCAUUGCCGCCGCCAUGGCCUCCUCCUCCCAGCGCUCCCUCACGCCAUGGCCUCCUCCGUCCCCGUGCUCGCCAUGGCCGCCGGUCCCCUGCCGAUUUGCUGCUGCUGUGAAUGUUGUUGUUGCGCUAAGCUGUUGCGUUGCGUGCUGCCGAAGUUGUUGGUUCCUGCUGCCGCUGUUGCUGCGUUUGCUAACUGCUGAUGUUGCUCUGCUAGCUUGCCGCUGCUACCUGCCUGUUGCUACUGUGUCUGAUGCUGCUGCUUGCUGCCUGCUAUGGUUGUUGUUGCUUGCCAGGUUGCUGUGUUGUUGCCUGCUUUUGCCGCCUGCCCUGCUGCCGAGCUAGCUUGCUUGCCUGCUGCCCUGUUGCGUUUUGCUUGCUAGGGCCAUGUGUUGUUCCUUGCCGUGGCUGAUGCUUGCUAUUACGGCUAGCUGAAUCUGCUUGUUGUUAGUUGCUUUUGCUGUUAGGUGCUAGGCUAGGUUGCAAGCUAGCUGCUGCUUAGUGCUAGGUUGCUUGUUGUGCCAUAGCCGCUGCUUGUCGUAUUUGCAUUGCCAGUGCUAGUAGUUGUUGUCGUUAGAUGCCUUGAUGUAGAUGUUGUUGUUGUGUGGCCGCUGUCGCUGUCGUUGAAGACCGGUGCACCAUCCCCGCCACCGCGGCCCGAUGACAACUACGUCCUCGACAAACCCCGAACAUCGACGGAGACGUGGUCGACUACCGACGCCGAAGACCCGAGAACCACGACGCCGAGCGAACGACUACCGUCGACGAGACCGGUACCACGACUUCCAGGACGUCCACAACGACCGUUGUUCCCCUUCACUGGACCGAACCGUUCCGAUUCGCACGCGUCGAAGGUAUACCGAUGAGACGUGGCCGAGAACCGUAUGCAUGUGUUGUACGAGUUGAAUAUAUGUAUGCACCGUAUGUUUGACCAUUGCACGUUGUCCCUCUAUGUUGUGCCCGACACAUGGGAACCCGGUAANNNNNNNNNNNNNNNNNNNNNNNNNNNNNNNNNNNNNNNNNNNNNNNNNNNNNNNNNNNNNNNNNNNNNNNNNNNNNNNNNNNNNNNNNNNNNNNNNNNNGGAGUGGUUAUAACAACCUUGACUAAGUGUUACAUGUACUGGCUAAUACCCCCUUCAGCCGGAACGCCGUGGGGAAGGACGUUCAAGCUGUCCCGAAACUCAUGGAACACUUGAGACGGUAGGCCUUUGGUGAACAAGUCGGCAAACUGGGAGCUCGAGGGAACGUGAAGCACCCGUGCCUCACCGAGAGCUACUUUGUCGCGGACGAAGUGCAAGUCAAUCUUGAUGUGCUUCGUCCGUUGAUGCUGAACUGGGUUGGAGGCCAGAUAAGUGGCGCUGACAUUGUCACAGUACACCACGGUUGCACGAGCUGGAGGACAGCGUAGUUCGUGGAGCAACUGCCGUAGCCAACAAGACUCGGCCACGCAGUUGGCGACACCACGAUACUCGGCUUCCGCACUGGAUCUGGACACCGUUGGCUGCCGCUUGGAGGACCAGGAGACAAUGUUAUCGCCAAGGAACACGCAGAACCCGGAUGUAGACUUGCGGGUGUCAGGGCAGCCCGCCCAGUCGGCAUCCGUAUAUGCAAUGAGGUCCGUAGAAGAUGAUUUGUAAAGCUGAAUCCCAUAGUGUGAUGUACCCUGUAGGUAACGCAGAAUCCGCUUGACGAGGUGCAUGUGGGUAUCGCGUGGGGAGUGCAUGAAGAGACAUAUUUGUUCACAUUGCAUAGCUUUGACGAUGACAUUGUAUUGUGUGUGGACGAAAGUGAAGAAGCGUUGAAGGGUGGAGGAGGUGUCGGACUUGUUGCGUAGAGGAAACGACCACGAGUAGUGCGUAAAAUCGUCAAGUACAACCAGAUAGUAUUGGUAACCUGAGAAGCUUAUAACAGGCGGUGUCCACAAAUCACAAUGUAUUAAAUCAAAGGGAGCAAAGGUUUUGCUAAAGGAGGAAGAGAAAGGGAGGCGGGGUUGGCGGCCUAAUUGGCAAGCAGUACAAGGAGAGUGCGGGGCCUUAUUACAAGUGCUAAGAAAAUCAUUGGUAAUGGUGGACAUGGAGUGGGCGCCAGGAUGGCCGAGCCGGCGAUGCCAAAGAUCCGCCGAGGAGAUGGCGAAGAUGGAGGGAGGCGUCCUUUUGUUGUCGUAGAAUAGGUAGAGGUCGCCGUGACUAGCGGAGAUCAUUAGAACCCUCUGGGUGCGAAGAUCCUUCACAAUAAAACCAAAUGGGUAAAAUUCAAUAGAGCAAGAAUUAUCGCGAGUGAAACGGCGAACGGAGAUGAGGCUAGUGACGACCGUUGGUGAAACGAGUACGUCGGUGAGGCGAAAUUCGUAGGGGUGAAGUGUUGUGGAGCCGGAAGCGGUGACGGGAAGGUGGUUACCAUUGCCGACAAGGAUGCUUGAAGGUGUAUGCUUUAAAGAAUAAUUAUGCUUGGUCAGGUUACCUGGGUUUCCCGUCACGUGUGAGGACGCGCCGCUGUCGAGGUACCACUCUGGUGCAGGCCGAGAGGGGAACCCGCCACCGUUGUAGGCGGCGUUGAGCAUGGCGGCGUGCUCCCAUGAAGGACAAGGAGGUGGAUAGAAGGAUGGCGGUGGUGACGGGAGCAUAGGGUAUGCCUGCGCGUGUGAGCCAGGGCGUGGACCAAGGACGCCCGCAGCGUUCGGAGGAAUCCAGCCGGGCCGAGGAGGUGGCAGCGCCAUGCCGUACGAGGCGAAAUAGCCAGUUAACGGAGUGGCAGGUGGAGUGGGGUGGCGUCCGGAGUUGUCGCCGCGGCCGCGGCCACGGCCACGGCCGCCACAGUCACCACGUCCGCGCCCAGAGGGCGAAGGAGAUGGAUGAGGAGUGCCGCGGUCGCCGUGGGAAGCGUCAGAGGGCCGGUCGGAGGAGGUGCGUCCACCCGGAGUGGAGUUGGCGCCGGAGGGUGAUCCACCCGUCAGAGCGAAGGCCGAGGCGCUCUCGUCGGCCACACGCUGCGCUUGGGACUCCUCGGCGAGGGUGACACGGGAGAGAACCGUGUUGAAGGGGAGAUCCUGAUCGCCGAGAACGACGCGGAUGGUGUCGAGACGCUUGUCCAACCCGUGAAGGAAUUGGGUGGUGAGGUCCACCUCGGUGACGGCGUGAUCAAUAUCAGCGAGGCCGUCGGUGAGAAGCUUCAUGCGUCGCGCGUAUUCAGAGACGGAGAGAUCGCCCUGCUUGAGAUUGCGGUACUGGCGAUUGAGAGACAUGUAGCGGGCGACACGAUUUGCAAGGAAGAAGUCCUUGAUCUUGUGCCAGAGGGCGAAGGUGGUGGUGGCGCCGACGACAUGGUCACACAUCGUGUCGGAGAGGGUGGCAUAGAUCCAGAGCACGACAUGCGCAUCCAGCUCAAGGUAGGCAGGCGGGGCAUUGGGGGGAGGUGGUUGCUUGGUGAGAUAAGAGACGUCUUAGCGGAGGAGGACCAUGAGGAAGAAGGUCUUCCAUUUGUGGUAGUUAUGAUCGGCCGGAUUGAGAAGGAGUUUGAUGUGGUUGGUGAUGUGGUCGCCGAAGAUGGGAUGGCGUGGUGCGGCGGCAGGGGCAACAGGGGAUAUGGUGGCACCGGAGGAGAAGAGAGGGGCGAAUUGGGAGCCGGAGGCGGUGCCGAAGAUGAACGGGGGAGGUGUGGCAGCGGAGGAGGAGGACGGCAUGGCCGUGGGAGGUGCCGCGGCGAAGGAGGAGGAGCCCGGCGAGGUGGCGGAGCUCGUGGCGGCGGAGGACACCGGCGACGCAGAGGUGUCGGGGGAGGCCAUGAGGACGUGGAGAAUUGAUACCAAGUUGGAAUAUGUAUUGUGAUUCCUUGAACAAUGAUGUUACAAAGUGUACAAUAUAUAGACUUGGCUACCCCUAUUUGCGUGGCACGUAGGCCAUUUCCCCUAGUGAUCCUAUGAUAUAGGAGUGGUUAUAACAACCUUGACUAAGUGUUACAUGUACUGGCUAAUAGAAUGGCUACAGUAUACGUAAAUCACUCAACAGCAAACAGUUAUUUCUCGGAAUAAAUUGAGCUGGGGAUGAUCACGGCAGUUAUAGGGACCUCCGGGAUGCUGAACCCAGCAUUGAUCAGGCUCAGCUUGGCGAUGCUGAACCCAGCUGUCACCUAUAUCACGCUGAGGCCCGGCGGGAUGAUCAGGUAAGGCCAUUGGGCCCGUGAAUAUUCGCUGCCAGUCAUGCUGAUCUUGGCGAUGCUGAACCCAGCUCUCACCUGCAUCUGCUUGGAGAAGCUGUUGCUGGAGCUGGACCUCUCGCCGAAGUGUGGCAUCGCCGGCAUCGGCUUCCCUUCUACCAAUUUAAGUGAUCUAAUCGCCAAUGAUGUCUUCAUAUAUGAAUAGAGUGCACAUAAAUUUCAUGCAAGACAGGCAAUAAUCUUUACAGCUGAUCCAGGGAGUACGCGAGGAAGAGAGCUGGGAGGAGCAGAGGAGGGAGUACCCGAGGUGAGAGACACGGACGGCAGCGGCGACGGAUUUCAAUUUUUACAACAACAAAUUAAUUCAGGUGUUGUGUAGUGCGGGUUGAAAUGAGGAAACGGCAAGAGGGAAAGUGCAAAAAUGCAUUGGUUGACCGUCCCGCCAUGCUGGCUCCAUGUGGCGUCAUCUGAUUGGUCAAGGACUAAAUUUGCACCUCCUAUGCAAGUUCUAGGACUAGUUAGUCCUUUUUUGCAAGUUUUAGGACUAAACCAUCACAUACCGUGCAAGUUCUAGGACCUGCGGUGCUAUUAACUCUUACUUUUAUACAGCCUGCUUCAGUCGGGUACUGUUUGCCCAUUUUGAACCUGCCUUGACAAGAGUUCAUGUGUUGGUAUUGUAUACGGAGUACAAAGUUACAAACCCAAAGGGAUAAGAUUUCUGUCAAGUGCCGACGGCGAUCACGUCAAUCUUGGAACCGUUUCACACGCGCAUCGUCACUUUGUCCUUCGCCAACCUUCGCCUAUUCCGUAGUUCCUGCUUUGAGUUGCAAAUCUGAGCAACGGAACCGGUAUCAAAUACCCAUGCACUACAACGAGAUUUGGUAAGGUACACAUCAAUAACAUGUAUAUCAAACAUACCUUGUUUGGCGUUGGCCGCCUUCUUAUCGGCCAGAUACUUGGGACAGUUUCGCUUCCAGUGACCAAUCCCCUUGCAAUGAUAACACUCAGUUUCCGGCUUUGGUCCAGCUUUGGGUUUCUUCUUUGAAGGGGCAACAGCUUUGCCACUCUUCUUGGAGUUACCCUUUUUGCCCUGCCGUUUUUUUUGAAAUUGGUGGUCUUAUUGACCAUCAACACUUGAUGUUCUUUAUGAAUUUCUCACAUGAACCUCNNNNNNNNNNNNNNNNNNNNNNNNNNNNNNNNNNNNNNNNNNNNNNNNNNNNNNNNNNNNNNNNNNNNNNNNNNNNNNNNNNNNNNNNNNNNNNNNNNNNAUGGAUCAAGACUGGGAUUUGUCACUCCGUGUGACGGAGAGGUAUCUCGGGGCCCACUCGAUAAUACAACAUCACACACAAGCCUUGCAAGCAAUGUAACUUAGUGUAAGUUGCGGGAUCUUGUAUUACGGAACGAGUAAAGAGACUUGCCGGUAAACGAGAUUGAAAUAGGUAUGCGGAUACUGACGAUCGAAUCUCGGGCAAGUAACAUACCGAAGGACAAAGGGAAUGAUAUACGGGAUCAUACGAAUCCUUGGCACUGAGGUUCAAACGAUAAGAUCUUCGUAGAAUAUGUAGGAUCCAAUAUGGGCAUCCAGGUCCCGCUAUUGGAUAUUGACCGAGGAGUUUCUCGGGUCAUGUCUGCAUAGUUCUCGAACCCGCAGGGUCUGCACACUUAAGGUUCGACGUUGUUUUAUGCGUAUUUGAGUUAUAUGGUUGGUUACCGAAUGUUGUUCGGAGUCCCGGAUGAGAUCACGGACGUCACGAGGGUUUCCGGAAUGAUCUGAAAACGAAGAUUGAUAUAUAGGAUGACCUCAUUUGAUUACCGGAAGGUUUUCGGAGUUACCGGGAAUGUACCGGGAAUGACGAAUGGGUUCCGGGAGUUCACCGNNNNNNNNNNNNNNNNNNNNNNNNNNNNNNNNNNNNNNNNNNNNNNNNNNNNNNNNNNNNNNNNNNNNNNNNNNNNNNNNNNNNNNNNNNNNNNNNNNNNNNNNNNNNNNNNNNNNNNNNNNNNNNNNNNNNNNNNNNNNNNNNNNNNNNNNNNNNNAGCCCUUAGUGGGCUGGUGGGACAGCCCCAAGGGGGCCUAUGCUCCAAGAGAAGAAAAUCAAAGGAAAAGAAAAAAAAAAGAGGGAAGAAGUGGGAAGGGAGGGGGACACCUCCCACCAAACCAAGUCCAACUCGGUUUGGGGGGGGAGUCCUCCCCCCCUUGGCUCGGCCGACCCCUUGGGAGUCCCUUGGACCCCAAGGCAAGGUCCCCCUCCCUCCUCCUAUAUAUAUGGGGCUUUUAGGGCAGAUUUGAGACGACUUUCUCACGGCUGCCCGACCACAUACCUCCAUAGUUUUUCCUCUAGAUCGCGUUUCUGCGUAGCUCGGGCGGAGCCCUGCUGAGACGAGAUCAUCACCAACCUCCGGAGCGCCGUCACGCUGCCGGAGAACUCUUCUACCUCUCCGUCUCUCUUGCUGGAUCAAGAAGGCCGAGAUCAUCGUCGAGCUGUACGUGUGCUGAACGCGGAGGUGCCGUCCGUUCGGUACUAGAUCGUGGGACUGAUCGCGGGAUUGUUCGCGGGGCGGAUCGAGGGACGUGAGGACGUUCCACUACAUCAACCGCGUUCUCUAACGCUUCUGAUAUACGAUCUACAAGGGUACGUAGAUCACUCAUCCCCUCUCGUAGAUGGACAUCACCAUGAUAGGUCUUCGUGCGCGUAGGAAAAUUUUUGUUUCCCAUGCGACGUUCUCCAACAGUGGCAUCAUGAGCUAGGUUCAUGCGUAGAUGUCUUCUCGAGUAGAACACAAAAGUUUUUGUGGGCGGUGAUGUGCGUUUUGCCGCCCUCCUUAGUCUUUUCUUGAUUCCGCGGUAUUGUUGGAUUGAAGCGGCUUGGACCGACAUUACUCGUACGCUUACGAGAGACUGGUUUCAUCGUUACGAGUAACCCCCUUUGCUCAAAGAUGACUGGCAAGUGACGGUUUCUCCAACUUUAGUUGAAUCGGAUUUGACCGAGGAGGUCCUUGGAUGAGGUUAAAUAGCAACUCAUAUAUCUCCGUGUGGUGUUUGCGUAAGUAAGAUGCGAUCCUACUAGAUACCCUUGGUCACCACGUAAAACAUGCAACAACAAAAUUAGAGGACGUCUAACUUGUUUUUGCAGGGUAUGAUUGUGAUGUGAUAUGGCCAACGAUGUGAUGUGAUAUAUUGGAUGUAUGAGAUGAUCAUGUUGUAAUAGAAAUAUCGACUUGCACGUCGAUGGUACGGCAACCGGCAGGAGCCAUAGGGUUGUCUUUAUACUAACAUAUAUGCUUGCAGAUGCGUUUACUAUUUUGCUAGGAUGUAGCUUUAGUAGUAAUAGCAUAAGUAGCACGACAACCACGAUGGCAACACGUUGAUGGAUGAUCAUGGUGUGGCGCCGGUGACAAGAAGAUCGUGCCGGUGCUUUGGUGAUGGAGAUCAAGAAGCACGUGAUGAUGGCCAUAUCAUGUCACUUAUGAAUUGCAUGUGAUGUUAAUCCUUUUAUGCACCUUAUUUUGCUUAGAACGACGGUAGCAUUAUGAGGUGAUCUCUCACUAAAAUUUCAAGACGAAAUUGUGNNNNNNNNNNNNNNNNNNNNNNNNNNNNNNNNNNNNNNNNNNNNNNNNNNNNNNNNNNNNNNNNNNNNNNNNNNNNNNNNNNNNNNNNNNNNNNNNNNNNUUUUCUCACCUUCACUGACGAUUUAAGUAGAUAUGGUUAUGUCUACUUGAUGAAGCACAAGUCUGAAACAUUUGAAAAGUUCAAGCAAUUUCAGAGUGAAGUGGAAAAUCAUCGUAACAAGAAGAUCAAGUUCCUACGGUCUGAUCGUGGGGGUGAGUAUCUGAGUUUCGAGUUUGGUACUCACUUAAGACAAUGUGGAAUUGUUUCGCAGUUAACACCGCCUGGAACACCACAGCGUAAUGGUGUGUCCGAACGUCGUAAUCGUACUUUGUUAGAGAUGGUGCGAUCUAUGAUGUCUCUUAGUGAUUUGCCGUUAUCAUUUUGGGGUUAUGCAUUGGAAACAGCUGCAUUCACUUUAAAUAGGGCACCAUCGAAAUCCGUCGAGACGACACCAUACGAACUGUGGUAUGGCAAAAGACCAAAGUUGUCGUUUCUUAAAGUUUGGGGAUGUGAUGCUUAUGUCAAAAAGCUUCAGCCUGAAAAGCUGGAACCCAAAGCGGAAAAAUGCGUCUUCAUAGGUUACCCAAAAGAGACAGUUGGGUACACCUUCUAUCUCAAAUCCGAGGGCAAAGUGUUUGUUGCUAAGAACGGAACUUUUCNNNNNNNNNNNNNNNNNNNNNNNNNNNNNNNNNNNNNNNNNNNNNNNNNNNNNNNNNNNNNNNNNNNNNNNNNNNNNNNNNNNNNNNNNNNNNNNNNNNNAUAAAACUAAUCACACGACGGAAACGGAAAUAAAAGGGGGAAUCUUCUAGGCGUCAGUCUCGGGCUGUCACAGCUCUCCUACACUACAAGAGGAUCUCGCCCCGAGAUCCAAGUAUGAAAGGGGAAGAGGAUGAGAAAGAACAAGAGGUAAGAACUUAGUCGCUUCUUUGACAAACGAGUGAAACCAACGAUCCUUGAAGGUAGCAAAGAGAUGAGGAAUGAUAUGAGAAAGAAGCGAGAAUUCACGGAAAAUUUCGGCAACACUUUGGUAGGAAAAUGGGACAAAAAACUCGAUAAGAAGAGAGAAUUAGACAAUAUUCAUAACAAACAAGUAAAUAGAACAAGGGAACACCAUGAUCUUGAUAGAACAACAUAAUAGACCCAAAAGAACAACAUCACAAUGCCUUCGGAACAAGAGAAUAUGACAUAGCUCAUACGGAAGCAGAGAAUGAAGAAUAGAAUGACAACUAUCAUCACAAUUGAAUUGAAGAGCCUCCGGACAGAGAAUUGACGUAGUAGUUGGAAAACCAACAACGAAAAGAACAAGGUAGUAGUGGGUUUAUGAAAAUCAUCUCAACAAAUAUGAGGUGACAACCAACCACUACAAGAACCAAGGAUAGAUGAAAGCAAAGAUAUCAAAACUUCUUACACCAAGAGGGUGCACUGAGAACUGGGAUUAAUAACAAGCACCAUGAUAGCACAAUCCAUAGGAAAAGCUUUAGGUGAAGCCUAAACCAAGAUAGCUCAAUGAAGAAACCAUGAGUUAAGAAUAAUCUCAUGAUCAAAGGAUUGAUGGAUUUAACUAUCUCAUUCUUGAAAGGAAAUCUCUUCGAGGCUCCUACACUAACAAGAAUGCUACAAUACCACCUCAAAGGAUAAAGGAGAACAAACGCAUUGGAAAUGCAAGAGAAAGAAAACAUGAGGUUCUCCAAUAAGAAUCUUGAAGAACACUUGAGAAUGGAUUGAAACCUUGAUGAACCACCAUGAAGGACCUCCGUAUACAAAUGAAUGAUGCAAAGAUAUGAAGGAAGAAAGAAUAAGAUUAUGACCUUGCCAAGAUUUAGAUGAAGCUUCACAAAGAGAUUCUUGAGAAAACUUGGAACUCCGGAAAAGAAAAGAUAAUAACAUUUGAGAAAAAGGAAUUGAUAUCAUGAGGCACUCCGAAAGAAGAAUUCAGAUUACUAUGAACAAGAAUAAGAAUUAUGUUAUGCUUAUACUUCAUCAAGUUUAAUUGAUGACAAGAAACGGAUUUAGCAUAGCACUUAUCCUUGUAGAAAGAACUUUAAGAAAGAGGGAGAUAUGCACCACAUGAAGCAUAAUGAAGGAAGCACCGGUGAGAAUCGGAUUGAAUGGGGAUACCAAGAAUUAAUGGAGAUACAUGAGAAUGAAGAGAUCAUGAUCCACCUGAAAGAGAACUUGAACAAGGCACCGGAUAAUUGAGAGAUGAAUGAAGAGACAACAAUUGAGAAGAAUUGAGGAUGAAAGCUGAAAGCUGAGAACAAAGAAUCUUCUGAAAUGAUGGCCUUCGGAGGAACGAGAAAUAAAAACAACUCAAAAACGCAUCGGAUAGCAAGAAAGAGAUUAAUCAUGAUUGGAACAAAUAAGAUGAUGGCACAAAGCUGAAAUGAUGAAUCUUAAAAAAAAAGGACCAAGAUUUGAGAGAAACACUUCUUCGAAUUGCAAGCUGAGAAUGAUGACGAGAACAACACCAAGAAUUACCGAGACACUCCGGAAUAGAGAAAAAUGAAAGUUUGAGCCAAAUAUGAGAAUUAAUUCGAAUAUAACUUGAAGAAUUAAAUAUGACUGAUGGAAAUCAUACUUACGUCAUAGUUGAAAGAAUUAGAGAUCUUUGGGAAAGAUUACAAAAGCCAGAUAAGAUCCUGGGAAAGAACCUGUGGGUUAUGGGCCCACUCAAAGAAACCACCGUUGGAAAAGAUUACUUGGAAGAGAGAUAUUGCACCGGUAUGACGAGAACUAGAUGAGGUUGAGAACCUCGAAAUAAUUAAAAGAAUUGAAAACAAGAACUUCUAAGAUAUCUUAAAUGCUGCGGAUAGAAAAGAGAGGAAUGAAUAACCAAGAUAGGCUGAAAAGAAUCUCCAACAUGAAAAAGAAUUACAAGGAUAAUUGGGAUAUGAUGAACACGGAUAGCUGAAUUAAAUUCACCGGUAAGGAUGAUAAGAAUGAACAAAUAUGACACGAAUCUCCUGAGAAUCUUCACAAUGAAUCACCGGGUAAGAGAGAAAAGAACAGACAUCGGAAGCACAAUGAAAAGAAAACUCUUGGAUGAAAAUUGAACCACUGAGAAAAGGGUGGGAGGGCGGGGAAAAACAAAUACAACUUGAGACAGAUGAGAUAACUCCGGAAAGAACUGAGAGAAUGAUGUGCAAAAUUAGAGAGGAUUGAAUUCACUAAAAAGAAGCACACCGCUUAAAAAGGAAUUAACAUGACGACUUCGGUUAACAAGAAUUGACAAGACAACUGAUUGAGCAAAAGGAUUAGCAUUCACAUAAAAAUAUGAGAACCCCUCUUGGAAAGGUCUGAAAUCACCACUUGAAAUCGAAGUAACACAAAUUUGUUGGAAGAUCGUCCUAUAAGUAACUACUUGAAUUCCCACCUAAGAAUUCCCGAAUAUCUAGUCAUGCAAUCUGGUACACGGAUACAAGGAGUAAUAAUCACACAACUCCUAUACUAACCCGUCACCUGUAUCACAUCCGUCAACACACAACCAGAACCUCGGACCUUCAUCUACAACAGACCCUCAUGAUCACAACGAUACAAAGUAUGGCAGUACUCCCGAACAAUCUGCACCAGUACUGGGGACAUCAGGGUUAUCUCGCCACUACUAGUAUUGAAGCAAUUACAAACAUCCUUCGUUCUGAGAUACUAAGAAAUCUGAAUGAUAACGAUGUGCUCAAGAAUCCCCUGGAGCUCAACUCCCCUGAAACUCAAAGCAGAUAGGAGGCACCAAGACAAAACUCCGUCACAUCAGCAUCAUAUAGAUCUCAAAAAUAUCCGCGUGAUCCUAAAUAUUUUUAUGAGUGAGAAGAGGAGUAGAAUAAUUAUUACGUCAAGAUUCCUCACCAGAGCAUAGAAGAGGAGAAAAAAGAAUCCUACUCUCCGAUAUAUAACUAGACUCAAAGUUUUUUUUACUAGACUCGACUCGGCGAAGUUCGAUCAAUCAAGGGGGCUCCUAGGUNNNNNNNNNNCAGUUUUUCACUAGACUCGACUCGGCGAAGUUCGAUCAAUCAAGGGGGCUCCUAGGUCGGUACUGCUCUGAUACCAACUUGUCACGCCCAAGAUGCGACCCUAUCCUCAAUUUGGCACGAAGGCCUCGUCAGGGAUAGAAGCGCAUCUCGUCGUGUCGCAAGAAUAGAUAUCGUUACAAGUACAUGUACUGAAAAGAAGAUAUAUAUAAUAGAAUUGGCUUACACUCGCCACAAGCUACAUCAGAGUCACAUCAGUACAUUACAUAAUCAUCAAGAGUAAAAGCAGGGUCCGACUACGGACGAAAACAAACGAGAAAAGAAGAACGACAUCCAUCCUUGUUAUCCCAGGCUGCCGGCCUGGAACCCAUCCUAGAUCGAUGAUGAAGAAGAAGAAGAAGCAACUCCAAAUGAACAAUCAACGCGCUCGCGUCAAGUAACCUUUACAUGUACCUGCAACUGGUGUUGUAGUAAUCUGUGAGCCACAGGGGACUCAGCAAUCUCAUUUCCAAAGGUAUCAAGACUAGCAAAGCUUAUGGGUGAGGUAUGGUUAAGUGGUGAGGUUGCAGCAGCGGCUAGCAUAUAUUUGGUGGCUAAACUUACGAGUACAAGAAAUAAGAGGAGGAAGAUCUACGCAUAGCGGACGGAAGCUACGGAUGAUCAAACGAAUGAUCCUGAACACCUACCUACGUCAGACAUAACCNNNNNNNNNNCGGGUGAGGUAUGGUGAAGUGGUGAGGUUGCAGCAACGGCCAGCAUAUAUUUGGUGGCUAAACUUACGAGUACAAGAAAUAAGAGGGGGAAGAUCUACCCAUAGCGGACGGAAGCUACAGAUGAUCAAACGAAUGAUCCUGAACACCUACCUACGUCAGACAUAACCCCACCGUGUCCUCGAUCGGAGAAGGAACUCGCGAAAGAGACAGUCACGGUAACGCACUCAGUUGGCAUAUUUUAAUUAAGUUAACUUCAAGUUAUCUAGAACCAGUGUUAAACAAAGUUUCCACGUUGCCACAUAACUGCGGGCACGACUUUCCGAAAAGAUUUAACCCUGCAGGGGUGCUCCAACUAGUCCAUCACAAAUUACCACAAGCCGCAUAGAAAUCCUCAACGACGAAGCUCGUGAUCUCGUCGGAUUCCUUAGUGGAAAACCUCAACUCUGAGAUUACCCAAAGCAUCACCGGAAUCCCGAUGCACAAGAUAUUUCAUCAAAGGUAAAACUAAUCCAGCAAGGCCGCCUGACGUGUCGACGAACCCGAUAGGAGCCGUGUAUCUCGUUCUCAGGACACGACGGAUGGGUCACACUAGGAGAACCAAACCUCGGGUUGCCCCGCGAUGGCCCCGUAGUCUGCCAAUUUGGACCAACACUCAUGAGGAGAACUGGCCUGGGGGUUGAUUAAAUUAUCCUCGGGGUCCGGAAAGUCCCUAUGCAAUUUUAUUAGGUGUUUAGGCAAAUGUAGUACCAAAGUUGGGCCUUGCCAGGCCAGUCUUAAUCUAAAACGAAUUAUCAAGGGGGUCCCCAUAACAACCCCGAUCGUGUUAGGAGCGCUCAAUUAUGGAACAUAACAUCGGUAGCCGAAACUAAGGGGGCAAAGGUGGAACAAAACACCAGGCUAGAAAGGCCGAGCCUUCCACCUUUUACCAAGUAUAUAGGUCCAUUAAAUUAAAUAGCAUUUAAAUAUGGUGAUAUAACAAGGAACCCAUGUUAUCACAUGGAAGCAUCUGCACCUUCAACUAGCAACGCUAACACAUGGUUAAGCAAGCAAUAACAUAGCCAAUCAGUGGUUUGCUAGGUUGAACAGGUUGAUGGUUUUCAUGGCAUUGUUGAGAGGCUGAUAUUUAACAUGUGGUAGGCAACGAGACAAAUCGAUAGAAGCGAUAAAACUAGCAUGGCAAUGAUAGUAAUGGUAUCUCGGGAAAUGGUCAUCUUGCCUGAGAUCCCGCUUGGAAGAAGAAUGACUCCGUGAAGCAGACGAACCAACGUAGUCGAACGGUUCCUCACUUUCCGACACGCUUGCGGAACUCUAUCGGAACGGAGCAAACCGAAAACAAACAUCAACACAGAUAUUCACCACACGAUGCACAACAUGAUGCACAACCUAAUAUGAUGCAUGAUCAGUUCAAUGAUGCAAGGGGUGGCAUGGCAAUUCACCUCACGCAAACUCUACACAUUAAGUGAAGCUCGAUAUACAACGGGUUGCAUAUCGACGAAACUCCACGAUUAAUUAUUUAAUUCACUCCCGAUUAUUUACACGACAAUAUUAAAUUGUUGUUAACAUGGCAAGGGUGAAGCGAUGAUCCUACAUGACAUCCUAGUCGGGUAACACGCGAAACAUCGAUCGGAGCUACGACGCAAGAAACAUGCAACACACGAUAUAUAUGCCAUGAAUGCGUUAUGCAUGCAAGUUACAACAUCACGGCAAGAAGAGAAGGAAACAUGUGUCGUCAUGGCGAACGAAAGGGAACCAUGGCGGCAAAACGGAAACGAUGCCACGACAACGUUCCUAUCCCGAUAACUCGACGAGCAAUCAUGCCAACGUGCUGGGAACGCGUGCGGGAACGGUAAAUAAGAUGGGGUGAUCCCGGUUACCGGGUUCCCAUGUGUCGGGCACAACAUAGAGGGACAACGUGCAACGGUCAAACAUACGGUGCAUACAUACAUUCAACUCAUACAACACAUGCAUACGGUUCUCGGCCACGUCUCGUCGGUAUACCUUCGACGCGUGCGAAUCGGAGCGGUUUGGUCCGGUGAAGGGGAACAACGGUCGUCGUGGACGUCGUGGAAGUCGUGGUACCGGUCUCGUCGACUGUAGUCGUUCGCUCGGCGUCAUGGUUCUCGGGUCUUCGGCGUCGGUAGUCGACCACGUCUCCGUCGAUGUUCGGGGUUCGUCGAGGAUGUAGUUGUCGUCGGGCCGCGGUGGCGGGGAUGGUGCACCGGUCUUCGGCGACGACGACAACGAUCACACAACUACAACAUCUACAGCAAGGCAUCUAACGACAACAACUACUAGCACUAGCAAUGCAAAUACGGCAAGCAGCGACUAUGGCACAACAAGCAACCUAGCACUAAGUAGCAGCUAGCUUGCAACCUAGCCUAGCACCUAAGAGCAAAAGCAACUAACAACAAGCAGAUUCAGCUAGCCGCAAUAGCAAGCAUCAGCCACGGCAAGCGACAGCACAUGGCAGCAGCAAGCAAAACGCAACAGGGCAGCAGGCAAGCAAGCUAGCUCGGCAGUAGGGCAGGCGGCACAAGCAGGCAACAUCACAGCAACCUGGCAAGCAACAACAACCACAACAGGUAGCAAGCAGCAGCAUCAGACACAGCAAUAGCAGGCAGGUAGCAGCGGCAAGCUAGCAGAGCAACAACAGCAGCUAGCAAACGCAGCAACAGCGACAGCAGGAACGAGCAGCUUCGGCAGCACACAUCGCAACAGCUUAGCGCAGCAGCAACAUUCACAGCAGCAGCAAAUCGGCAGGGGAACGGCGGCCAUGGCGAGCACGGGGACGGAGGAGGCCAUUGCAUGGAGGGAGCGCUGGAAGGAGGAGGCCAUGGCGGCGGCGACGGGGAGGCGCGGGGCUGGCGCGAUGCUGGGCAAGGGACGGAGCAGCUGCUGGAGGCGGCGGCGCGCGGGGCCUGCGAGCGGUGACCGGAGGCGAGGUAGGGGCGACGGCCUGGGAAGCAGGGGCGACGCUGAGGCCAUAGAGGCGGCGCAGAGGAGCUACUGGCGGCGGGGCUGGGACUCGGCACAGGGGAACGGGAGGAGGGAGAUGGCGCUGGGGACGACGGUGCUGCGGGAGGAGAGAUCGAGGGGCUGGCUCGCGACGCUAGUGCUGGGGAGGGGAGGCCUGGGCCUUGGCCUGCUGGGCCUUGGCGUGGGGUCCUCCCCCUUUGUUUUUUUAAAUCCUUUUAAAACAUAAAUCUUAAAAUAAAGAAAGGCUUUUAACAAAAGUAAAAUAUAAUAAAUGCUUUUGACCCCUUUUGAAAAAAAUAUUCCCAACUAUAAGAAAUAGUUGGGCAUUUUAAAAGAAAUGAUAUAAACCCCUUUUUUGAAGAAUUAAAAUUAAAAUCUUUUUUUGAAGAAUAAAAUAAACCUCUUUUAUUUAAAGAAUAAAAAUAAAAACUCUUUAAAAGAGAAAAGUAAAUGAGACGGUUUUAAAAUAAAACCAAAGGAGAAAAUUAAAGAAAAUCCAAGGGCUGCCCCCGCAUUUAAUAAAAUGACCUUUUUAAAAGAAGACGCUUUUUUCAAAGGGGAUAAAACGGAAACUUUAGCUAAACCACAAAAAUGAAAAGAGAGGUGAGAGGGGCGAGAAGGUUUUUUAGGUCCUCGGUGCAACUAGGUUACGANNNNNNNNNNGGACCUUUUUAAAAGAAGACGCAUUUUUUUAAAGGGGAUAAAACGGAAACUUUAGCAAAACCACAAAAAUGAAAAGAGAGGGGAGAGGGGCGAGAAGGUUUUUUAGGUCCUCGGUGCAACAGGGUUACGAGCUUGAACUUGUUGCACCCAAUCAUGUUGCAAGGCCCUAAGGCACAUACACACAUGCGCUCACACUCAAACAACGAGGUGCAACUAGCCACACCAGACAAGCACAGAUGACAUGAUGCCAUGCAUGAUGCGGCGAUGCAAACUACAUGACGAUGCAACAAAUAAAACUAAUCACACGACGGAAACGGAAAUAAAAGGGGGAAUCUUCUGGGCGUCGGUCUCGGGCUGUCACACCUCUCUGGUCAGAUCAGAAGCUGUAGCAGAGUGGUAGCUGCCUUGUGCGUGUGUGUGCUCGAGCAGCAGGUCUGGGGUUCGACCCCCAGUACCUCCCUUUUAUUUUUUCCCUUGUCCUCUGCAUUUCUUUUUUCCUUUGCUGUUCACCACCUUGCAACCUUGUUCUUUGUAGCUAGGUACUUAUUUUUCUUGUGCACUUAGAUGUUUGUGCUUCCUCCUCUCUUAAUCUGCAAGUAUGUUCAUUUGUUGGUGGCUUGUGAAUAAGAGGUGAUGCACUUGUGUGUGUGAAUAUGCACUUAGUAGAGUUGUAGAUGCAUGUGCUUAUAGUCUUGUGCUUAUCACUUUAGUUGAGAUUGGCAUUUUAUCUCCUUGCUUGUGCUGUAUAGUAGUGGGAGGUGAUGUGGUGUAUGUUUGGGUGCUUGUGAGAGGUGCAUGUGUGUGUGUGUGCAUACACAUGAGGUUAGUCAUACAUUGGUGUGUGUGUAUGGUGAUGCUUCCUAGUAGAUGAUCUUAUGUUGGUGGCUUGUGUUUAUGCUUGUGUGACUAGUAAGAGGUGGCAGUAGGUGAUGUGCAUAUGUGUGUGUGUNNNNNNNNNNNNNNNNNNNNNNNNNNNNNNNNNNNNNNNNNNNNNNNNNNNNNNNNNNNNNNNNNNNNNNNNNNNNNNNNNNNNNNNNNNNNNNNNNNNNNNNNNNNNNNNNNNNNNNNNNNNNNNNNNNNNNNNNNNNNNNNNNNNNNNNNNNNNNNNNNNNNNNNNNNNNNNNNNNNAUUCUUUGUGUUGCUAGCAUGUGUAGGUGGUGUGAGUUUCUACUAUAUGACAUGCAUAUGAGUUGAUGAUAUGCAUGUGGUGAAAAUAGCCCCACUUUGCAACACUUGUGCACCUUCACAUGUCCAUAUGUGAGAGGGCAUGGUGAUUUGUAUGUAUGGGUAGCUUGGUAGAAGUGGUUGUGAAGUUGAUGUGCAUGAAACAAACAUGGGGUUCAAACCCCCAUGUCACUUUGUCAUUGUGCACAUGAGCUCAACCAUGUAGUAGUUGAUAUAGUGAAACUACAUGAAAUGAUGCACUAUUCCCUAGUCAUGAUUUGGAGUAGUUUCCUCUUCCUUAAUUUGUGGUCACUUGUUCCAAGUAAGUGCCCACAUUUUAUAUAUGAUUUUGUGGUAGAAUUUCCCAAGGAAUCCAUUGGUGAACUUAGCUUUGCCAUUGGAACAUUUUUCUGGAAAGUCAUAUUUGCAUUUUCUUCUAAGUUUAGAGCUUGGUUCCAUGCAUGGUGAUGUGCUCUUGUAUUUGAUUCUUGGUUGUGGUAGUAGAGGGUGACCCCCUCUACCACAUGUGGGUUUCAAUUCAUGAUUUGGAAUCCAUGUGUGCAAGUGGUGCCCAUCCAAAGUGGGAAUGUGGCUGGAAAUUCCAGCUUAGUGUUUGAGAAUCUGGAAAUAUUUUCUUCUCCUGUAGAUGAGGUCGUGCUGGUCAUUGUGUUGUGAUCUAGCCUUAGUUCAGUGCUAGGAAUUUGGACCUGAUAUGUUUUUAAAGCUCCCUGUCAAAUUUCAUCCCAUUUGGAAUCCUGUAGGUUAUGUUUUGGUUGCUGUCAAAAAGCUUCAGAGCAAAGACAGAAAAUCAGGUGCAGGAAUUUCACCAAGUCCCUGAGAUCUGAUGGUUUUGGGAAAGUUUGCAUCCUUGUAUCUUCCUGUGUUUAAUUCCUUUUGGUGUGAUUCUUGCUUGUGCUGGUAGUAUUCUUGGCUAGCUACAGCCACAUAUAUUAUUUUUCAUAUUUGGAGGGCUGUAGCUAUGUUGCAUGUAGUUCACAAAGUGCUAAGAUGCAGAUUAUGGCAGAUUAUGUAGUUUUGUCAUUUUGAUGAUUGUGGGUGCUUAGUUGAUGUUGUGGUGUUCUUCCUUGAUCCAAUCCAUUCAUGUUGGGUUGUUAUAUGUCUUGGCAACCUGGGAAUACCAGAUUUGUGCCAUUUGAGCAUGUGGUAUUGAUUUGGACACGUAGGGCUUCAUAUCUUGUUUCGUUGAUUCCCGUUGAUCCGUAGCUCCGAUUGUAAUGUUCCUUAUAUGGUUUUGCAUCAUUUUCACGAUACGCAUCUGAUCAUGUCAUUCUCAUGCAUGUCAAAAUAUCUUGGGGUACAGUUCUGUCCAGAAACUUGUAGUAGCUUCUCUUGCUUGUGCUAGUGAUAGAAAUAGUGAUGCAUGCUCAUUUUUCAUAUCAUGCAUCAUGUGCUUGUUGCAUCUUGAGGUGCUGUUGUUCAUUGGAUGUUAUUCUUAUGUUGGGUAGCACUGGGAUCGGAGAACGAGUACGUGGAUUCGGGAGAGUACGUGCAGGACGAACAAGAACCAUUCCAAGCUGAGGAUAUCACAGGCAAGAUGAUAUGACCUUGAUUCCAUCUCUAGACUUGUUAUGCUAGUUUGUGUUUCCAUGUCAUAUUGCUCGCUGCCUAGCACUGAAAAUUGCCCCUUGAGAUGCCAUGAACCCAUACCCUGAUCCCUUCCUAGCAAAACUUGAAUGGCUAAGUAGGCUUUGCUCAGCUACUAAUGUUAGCAUUGCUAGAUGCAGGUGCUUUGACUCAUAUGAUAACAUGAGCUUGAUAUCAUUAUCUUAAAUUCUGUUAUUUAUUAAUGCACCUAUAUACUUGGUAAAUGACGGAAGACUUAGCCUUUUGCCGGGUGCUUUGUUCCGUUAUUGCCGCCAUAAUUACCGGCUACCGGUGUUUGAUUCCAUAUUGAUCGCUCCUAACACGUUCGGGGUUGUUAUGGGAACCCCCUCGAUAAAUCGUGUAGCGCUAAGGCUUGUCCAGCAGGACCCAACAUUGGUGUUAAUUUGCUAAUCACUUAAUAAUAAACUGCAUAGGGAAUAGCUACCCCGAGGAUUUUAAUCAACAACCCGGGCCAGUGCUCCUCAUCAAUGUUGGUCCAAACUGGGCACUGCUCGGGGCCAACUCAGGGCAACUUGAGUGAUUUCUAUCAGGCCAUCGUGCGCAUAGCUCAUCCAGCGUGUCCUGAGACUGAGAUACGCGGCUCUUAUCAGGGUCGUCGACACGUCGGGAGGUCCUGCUAGUCUUGCCUUACCUUAGCGAUAUAUCUUGCGUAUAGGAAUCCCAGUGAAGCUUUGGUUUCCCCCAAAGUUGAGGUUUUCCUCUAAGGAAUCCGACGAGAUCACGAGAUUCGUGAUAGAGGAUUACUUUGCGGCCUGUGUACGUUUGUGAUGGACUAGUUGGAGCACCCCUGCAGGGUUUAAUCUUUCAGAAAGCCGUGCCCGCGGUUAUGUGGCAACUUGGAAUAUCUUGUUAAUAUCCAGUAUUAGAUAACUCAAACAUAAGCUAAUAAAAUUGUCAACUGUGUGCGUAACCGUGACUGUCCCCUCGAAGAUCUCUCUUCGAUCGGGAACACGGUGGGGUUAUGAAUGCCGUAGGUAGGUGUUCAGGAUCACUUAGUGAUCAAGUAAUCACGACCGCUAGUAUAGACCACCUUCAUACUUGUUCUACGUAUGUUAGCCCCUAAAUCAAGCUUAGGAUGCUGCAACCUUAAACACUUCACCUUAUCCCACCUAAUAACUUGACUAGUUCUGGCACCAAGGUCUUAGAUUGCUGAGUCCCGGUGGCUCACGGAUUCCUCCAAAAUCCCAACAUGUUUAGGUACCCCAGAGACAGAUGAUCCCGACGGCACUCAGCUGGCGUGGCAGUACGACGAGGAGAUAGACCGCCUUUACGUGAACUAUCCAGAAGAUUGAGGCGUGGUCGUGAUCGUGGGCCUGCAGGCAGGGUAGCAUAGCAUUUCUAUGUUUUGUAGCCGUAGCGGAACUUCCUUGGUUGUAUGUGUGAUGUACUCUGAGAUAUUUAUGAGAAGGCAAUUGAAUCACUGAUUGUCUAUCUUUAUUAUUAUGUAUGUGUUGUGUUACCUCUUUGCGAGACGCUUAUAUGCGCUCCUUUCCAAUUCGGGGCCUCGAUCCCCAUAUCGGAAAGGACCGCAUCUUGGUCGUUACAAAGAUCCACCCGUUGCUCCUUCACCGUAUAUCAGUCCUCCGGUAUGCUUUCAGUCAUCAAGAAUGAAUACAUUGUAGAUAUUAUUGUUAGCUUGAUAUUUAUAGUUCUACUUUUUGUUGUAGUCUCCUCCUCCUCUGUGCAUGUACUAUCGUUGGAUCGACAUGGAACGGCCGGACUGGCGGUGACCGAGAUUCGUGAAAGAGGUCAUCGUGCAUGGGCUAUUUUGGACUUGGAAGAGCGUCGUGCGAAGGCGGAAGCAGAGAAGAAAGUAGAGGAGAAGAGAGAGUGGGAAGAGUACUGUGUGGAGCAGAGGGCUUUUCUUGAUGAGAUGAUCAGGAAAAACCAAGAAGAGAAACUUCGGCUGGAGGAGGUUUACAGACACCGGCAGGAAGCCCGUGAUGCUGAGAGGGAGAGAAAGAAAGAAAGGGCUCGUGUGGCCAAGGCAGCAGAAGAAGCUGGUGAUGGAAAAGAAAAAUAUCCACGUUGGACUCAGUAGAUUUGUUUUAUUGUAUCCUAAAAUUGUUGAAUCUUAAUUUCAGCAAGUUGUAUCUUAAUUUCAGCAAGUUGUAUCAGCACGUUGUAUCUUAAUUUCAGCAAGUUGUAUUUUAAUUCCGGCAAGGUGUAUCUUACUUUGAACAUGUUAAGUUUUCCGACCAUAUCUUUCCUGCCAUUUCUUUCCCGCCAUUUCUUUCCCAUCGUAUCUUUCCCGCCUUUUCUUUCCCGCCAUUUAUCUCCCGCCAAUUCUUUCCUGCCUCGCUCUCAGCCACCUAUAAAACUCCCUCCACACUAAGGUGAGAUAACAAUGUAGUCCAGUAGCUAUCAUUCGUCAAGAUGUCCCAUUAGUUUAAUUCAGUUGGAAAGGGUGGCCUCCAAGGACAUUUGAGGAGAUAUGGAAAGAACUAAUUUACCACUGAAAUAGAACAUGAAUAUGUCUCAUACAUGAAUAUGUCUCAUACAAAUAGACAUAUGUUUCAUACAUAAUUAGAUAGUCAUAUCUUAUACAUAGAUAAUUAUAUCACUCCUGGCGACGACGACGAAUCUUGGGCUUCCUCGGACGCGGACCGGUAGGCGAUAAGCACUCAGGCGGUGGACGAGGCUCGCGAUGACCAUGACCAUAUACCACCUCGUCCAUCAGUGUCAGUGUCUCCUGCGUCGAUGGUGGUGGUGGAGUGACAAGAACUGUCUCCAAGAAAUCAUAUGUGUUUGCACCUCGGUCAUUGUCGUCGUCGUCGUCGGGUAAGUACAAACCAGUAAACACAGGUGACUGGACUGAAGCCAUGAACGGUUGCAAUUGGUUGCCGACUGCGGUAAAGUAAAACAUGCAAAAUUGAUUUACGAGCCUACAAUUUUUCAAAUAAUGUGCAAAGUAAUGUUACCUAUGUCCAUCCGAUUAAGCCAAGAUGAGCCCCCGGGUUGUGAACGAGGUGGCUGCUGGAAGAAAUAACUCCCUGGUUGUGAAGGAGGUGUCUACUGCCAGGGUUGUGAAGGAGGUGUGUGCUGCCAGGAGGAGCUCCCUGGGUGUGAAGUAGGUGUGUGCUGCUAGGAGGAGCUCCCUGGUUGUGAAGGAGGUGUCUGCUGCGAGGAGGAGCUCCCUGGGUGUGAAUGAGUUGUCUGCUGCCAGGAGGAGCUCCCUGGAUGUGAAGGAGGUAUCUGCUGCCAAGAGGAGCUCCCUGGGUGUGAACGAUGCACAGAGGUUCGAGGUUCUGAAUGCUGCAGAGAGGGGCGUGGCGGACGAUGGGCCGCAGAAGUGUUAACAACAUCCGAAGAUCGUCUACAUGUAACAGCGACGUAAAUCCCGCGCAGCUUAGCAAGAUGACCCUUCAACCAUGUGACUUGCUUUCGCGGUGGGAUAUUUUCUCCUCUCUCAAAGCGUUGUACUAAAGUGGAAACCUCAUCUACCGCCUCAGAUGUCAAUUCGCCCUAUGAACUAGGAGUUAACCAAUUGUGUAUGUUCAGGUUAAGGGAAAAAUUAACAUGUGAGAAACAUAGCACAUACCGCGUGGUGUCUGGUUCCCACAACUGAGGCAGUUGGGAACAGAUCGCUGGUGAGAGGGGCUUCGAUAUGAUCAGGAGCUGAUGAUGGAACCAAGUAGAUCCUCGUGCUAUGCCGGUAACGCUGUAGAUACAACCCGAACUUGUCCCAGUCAAAGGCUCGAACUUCAUCCCAAAUAUUUGUUGGCGCAGUAGUCCAUUCGUCGACGUAAGGGCUAAUGUCGCGAAGCCAAGAAGCCUGGGACUUGUUUCCUCCUACGCGACUGUACCUGAGAUUGAAAUGCACAUUACAUGAUUAGUUAUAUGUCAAAUGCAGACAUGAGAACUGAAGUAGUAUUACUUACUUAUGCACGUUAUCUGGUAAGUGUGGAAUAACAAGAAUGUGAGGCUCUUGGCAUAGAUCGAACUGUCUCAUCACCCUAUGAAGAGCCAUCUCCUCAACCGUCACGUCGAACACCAACCUGGCCUUGGUCAUCCAAUAAUGCCAAUCUAUAGUGCACAAUCUAGAAAUCCCAAGAGGACACCUUUCUGAAAUAGCAUGAUCGGAGUAUGGCUUCCAUAUAACUUGACCCUCGUGCAAACUAUCAAACUGCGCUGUGAAGGAGGGGUAGCAGCCCCUCACCUGGCUAUGCGCAAACUCUCUCUGUGCAUGACAACAAACAUUACUAAAUAUUAUUGAAUAGCGAGAAAUAAACAUUAGUAAUUCAUAUUGUUACUAGUUAUGAAAAUACCUCUCUCCGCACCUAGACAGAUCCCAUAGUAGGCAAGUCGCCGAUAGAAGACACGUAAGUCCCAAUCAUGUGCUCAUAACCAAAACGUUUUUCAACGCUCACAUAGGGUCGACCAAUAGAGAAUCUCCCAUAUGACCAGAGCUGCAACAAUAGUAGACAUCCAACAAUAGCAGAUUUUCUGGACUUCAACUGACAAGCUUUGCACAGGCCUCUAUACGUAGCCGCUAACAUAGCAGAACCAAAACUCCUGUGCACAAUGUUCUCCGGGCAACGUGCGUCAGCUAUCUCUCGUGCAAUACCAAUGAGUCGUGCAUCAACAGUGGUCACGUGGUUCUCCGUGAACAUCGUCUUGCCGAACAACCACAAAAUAUAUGCCUCUAGGGAUCGGUCAAUCUGUGUCUGUGACAACUCAACGUUGGGAUAUCCUAAGGAGACAAUCUGAAACUGGCUCAACCACCUAAAAAGAGGCCCAUGACGAUCGUUGUCUAGCAACGUAGUAGUUGGCGCCGCAGCCAGAAAACGGGCAUGCAUCGAUGCUAGCCAACCAGUUUCUGCCUCUAAAGGACCUAUGGCAGCACCGGCCAGAGGUAAUCUCAACAAGACACAUCCUGUAAAGUUGGCGCCAUCUCUCCCCUAGAAAAAUGAAAUGUAUGUGUCUCUGGUCUCCAUCUAUCUACUAAGCAGGUAAGGAGUGACCUAUCAUAAGAGAAAUGUGUAACUUGCCUCUUGUGAAACUCCAUUGGUUCACCUCCUGAUACGUCUCCAUCGUAUCUACUUUUCAAAACUCUUUUGCCCUUUUUUUGGACUAUAAUUUGCAUGAUUUGAAUGGAACUAACCUGGACUGACGCUGUUUUCAACAGAAUUGCCUUGGUGUUAUUUUUGUGCAGAAAUCAAAGUUCUCCAAACGUCCUGAAAAUUUACGGGGAGCAGUUAUGGAAAAUAUCAAAAAUAUCUGCGCCAAGUUCCACCUCAUGGGGUGGGCCAGUGGGCCACAAGCCCCUGCUCCGCCACCACCCCCUGGUGGCGGUGGGCAGGCUUGUGGGGCCCACAGACACCUACCGCCCCCAACUCCAGCUCUAUAAGUUGCCUUUCGUCCCAGAAAAAAUAGAAAGAGAAGUUUUCCUCGCGUUUUCGAUGCGGAGGCGCCGCCACCACCUGCUCUUCAUCUGGAGGGCAGAUAUGGAGUCCGUCUUGGGCUCCGGAGAGGGGAAAUCGUCGCCAUCGUCAUCAUCAACCUUCUUCCCUCUCCAAUUCCAUGAAGCUCUUCAUCGUUCGUGAGUAAUCUAUUCGUAGGCUCGCUGGGCGGUGAUGAGUAGGAUGAGAUCUAUCAUGUAAUCGAAUUAGUUUUCAUGGGGAUUGAUACCUAGUAUCCACUAUGUUCUGAGAUUUGAUGUUGCUACUACUUUGCCAUGCUUAAUGCUUGUCAUUAGGGCCUGACUGCCAUGAUUUCAGAUCUGAAAUUAUUAUGCUGUCACCAAUAUAUGUGUGUUGUAGAUCCGAUCUUGCAAGUUGUAGUUACCUACUAUGUGUUAUGAUCCGGCAACCCCGGAGUGACAAUAAUCGGAACCACUCCCGGUGUUGACCAUAGUUUGAGGAGUUCAUAUGUUCACCAAGUGCUAAUGCGUUGGUCCGGUUCUUUAUUAAAAGGAGAACCUUAAUAUCCCGUAGUUUCCUUUUGGACCCCGCUGCCACGGGAGGGAUGGACAACAGAUGUCAUGCAAGUUCUUUUCCCUAAGCACGUAUGACGACACACGGAAUGCAUGCCUGCAUCACAUUGAUGAACGAGAGCUAGCCACAUAUCUCUCCGUGUUAUAGUUGUUGCAUGAUGAAUAUCAUCCAAACAAAUCACCGACCCAUUGCCUACGAGUUUGUCCUACUACUGGUGUUACUUGUCUUGCUCUGCUGCUGCUACUACUAUUGCUACUGCUGUUACUUGUCUUGCUCUGCUGCUGCCACUACUGUUGCUACUGAUGUCACUUGUUCUGCUCUGCUGCUGCUGCUAGUACUGUUGCUACACCCGUUGCUUGCUACUGUUGCUACUUGCUACUGCUGUCACCACUGCUGUUCCUUGCCACUGCCGUUACUCGCUACUUUGUUGUUACUACUGUGCUUGCAGAUACUAAUCUGUCAGGUGUGGUUGAAUCCGACAAAUUCAGCUGCUAAUACUCAAGAGUACUCUCUCACCUCCUUCAGGCGAUCUACAAAUUUGGGUCGAAUACUCUACCCUCGAAAACUGCUGCGAACCCACGCGCUGGUGGGCCAUCAACAACAUUCUUCCAGUUUCAUUGCCGGGGAGUGCUAUCAGCAUUCUUGUGGUGCCGUUGCAGGAGAAGGAUCGUUGUCAUAAGCAUUCGUCUAGCUAACGCCAGAGAUUGCGCGAUCAACAUUUUUCUGGCGCCGUUGCCGGGGAGGUAUUGCUAUAUUCUCUGAGUCACUUGGGAUUUAUAUCUGCUGAUCACUAUGAAGAAUCUGAAGGAUCCGAAGACCAAAGUCUUGCCCUCAACUACGAAGGGAGGUAAGGAAUUGCCAUCUAGCUCUGCACUUGAUUCACCUUCAGUUAUGAGUAAGUUUGCGACAUCACCUCCUGCUAGAAAUCUUGAUAUGUCGCAUGUGCUUAGUGAUGCUUUUGAUACUACUGCUAGAGAUGCUAUGCUUGAUACUAUGCCUGAUGAUACUAUGCUUGAUACUGCUAGAGAUGAUAUGCUUGAUACUAUGCUUGAUAUUGCUAGAGAUGCUAUGCUUGAUACUGCUUUGCCUGAUGAUGCUAGAGAUGCUAUUUUGCGUGAUGAUGCUAUGGUUGAUACUGCUAGAGAUACUCCUUUGCCUGAUGUUCCACUAGGAGUGUUCCUUGAUGCUCAUAUAGCUAGAGUUACUACCAAUGCUCGUGAUGCUUCUGAUACUGCCGAUACUAUUGAGAUAGAACCUGCUUUUGCUCUUGCUAGUUCUAGGUCUCCUAGAUAUGAACUGCCUGAUAUACCUCAGGGUUACGUUAUGGAGGGAGAGAUAGUUGAGGAUUUUCUUGCGUGUAAGGAUGCCUAUGACGCUGAUAAAUUAAUUCUCAAGUGGAAGGAAAAAUCUCGUGAAGCUAGGAUGAAAAAUGACCCGAAGUUUGCCACUUCGCCUAUCUUUGUCACCGAUAAGGAUUAUGAAUUCUCUAUCGACCCUGAGAUAAUCUCUCUAGUCGAAUCUGAUCCUUUUCACGGUUAUGAGUCUGAGACAGUCAUAGCGCAUCUUGCUAAACUAUCCGAAAUAGACAACCUUUUCACUAAUGAGGAGAAGAUCCACCACUACUAUAUCCUUAAGCUGUUUCCUUUCUCUCUAAAGGAUGACGCUAAAGUCUGGUUCACCUCUCUUGCUCCUAGAUGUGUGCGUAGUCCCCAGGAGAUGGUCUAUUACUUCUGUGAGAAAUAUUUCCCUACCCAUAAGAAGCAAGCUGCCUUGCAGGAAAUAUACAACUUUGCUCAACUCCAAGAAGAGANNNNNNNNNNNNNNNNNNNNNNNNNNNNNNNNNNNNNNNNNNNNNNNNNNNNNNNNNNNNNNNNNNNNNNNNNNNNNNNNNNNNNNNNNNNNNNNNNNNNAUGAAGAAGCAAUGGUGGGCCCAGAUUCCAACAAAUGGCUAGAAGCCAUGAAAUCCGAGAUAGGAUCCAUGUAUGAGAACAAAGUGUGGACUUUGGAGAUACUACCUGAGGGUCGCAAGGCUAUUCAGAACAAAUGGAUCUUUAAGAAGAAGACGGACGCUGACGGUAAUGUGACCGUUUAUAAAGCUCGACUUGUGGCAAAGGGUUUUUAACAAGUUCCAGGAGUUGACUACGAUGAGACCUCACCCGUAGCGAUGCUUAAGUCCGUUAGAAUCAUGUUAGCAAUAGCUGCAUUUUUCGAUUAUGAAAUCUGGCAGAUGGAUGUCAAAACGGCGUUCCUUAACGGUUUCCUUAAGGAAGAGUUGUAUAUGAUGCAACCCGAAGGUUUUGUCGAUCCUAAAAAUGCUGACAAGGUAUGCAAGCUCCAGCGAUCCAUUUAUGGACUGGUGCAAGCAUCUCGGAGUUGGAACAAACGCUUUGAUGAGGUGAUCAAAGCAUUUGGGUUUAUACAAGUGGUUGGAGAAUCUUGUAUUUACAAGAAAGUGAGUGGGAGCUCUGUGGCGUUUCUAAUAUCAUAUGUGGAUGACAUAUUACUGAUUGGAAACAACGUAGAGUUUUUGGAGAGCAUAAAAGGUUACUUGAAUAAAAGUUUCUCUAUGAAGGACCUAGGAGAAGCUGCUUACAUUCUAGGCAUUAAGAUCUAUAGGGAUAGAUCAAAACGCCUGAUAGGACUUUCACAAAGCACAUACCUUGAUAAAGUUUUGAAGAGANNNNNNNNNNNNNNNNNNNNNNNNNNNNNNNNNNNNNNNNNNNNNNNNNNNNNNNNNNNNNNNNNNNNNNNNNNNNNNNNNNNNNNNNNNNNNNNNNNNNUUGAUGGUGAGCAAGACCACUAGUUUCAAGAGAAACGGCAAAGGAAAGAAGGGCAAUUCGAAGAAGAGCGGCAAGCCUGUUGCCAAUCCGCCGAAGAAGCCCAAAGCUGGACCUAAGCCUGAAACAGAGUGCUUCUAUUGCAAGGGUAUGGGUCACUGGAAGCGCAAUUGCCCCAAGUAUCUGGCAGAUAAGAAGGCGGGCAAAGAAAAAUCAGGUAUAUUUGAUAUACAUGUUAUUGAUGUGUAUUUAACCGGCUCUCGUAGUAGUGCAUGGGUAUUUGAUACCGGUUCUGUUGCUCACAUUUGCAACUCGAAGCAGGAACUGCGGAAUAGACGAAGGCUGGCGAAAGACGAAGUGACGAUGCGCGUAGGAAACGGUUCCAAGGUUGAUGCAAUCGCCGUCGGCACAGUGUCACUUCAGCUACCAUCGGGAUUAGUGAUGAACUUAAAUCAUUGUUAUUUAGUGCCUGCGUUGAGCAUGAACAUUAUAUCUGGAUCUUGUUUAUUGCGAGACGGUUACUCUUUUAAGUCUGAGAAUAAUGGUUGUUCUAUUUCUAUGAGUAACAUCUUUUAUGGUCAUGCACCGAAUGUGAGAGGAUUGUUCAUAUUGAAUCUUGAUAGCGGUACGCAUAUAGAUAACAUUGAGACCAAAAGAGUUAGAGUAAACAAUGAUAGCGCCAUAUUUUUGUGGCACUGCCGCUUGGGUCAUAUUGGUGUAAAGCGCAUGAAGAAACUCCAUGCUGAUGGACUUUUGGAGUCACUUGACUUCGAUUCACUUGACACGUGCGAACCAUGCCUUAUGGGCAAGAUGACUAAGACUCCGUUCUCCGGAACAAUGGAGCGUGCAAGUGACUUGUUGGAAAUCAUACAUACCGAUGUGUGUGGUCCAAUGAGCGUGGAGGCACGCGGCGGAUAUCGUUAUUUUCUCACCUUCACUGACGAUUUAAGUAGAUNNNNNNNNNNNNNNNNNNNNNNNNNNNNNNNNNNNNNNNNNNNNNNNNNNNNNNNNNNNNNNNNNNNNNNNNNNNNNNNNNNNNNNNNNNNNNNNNNNNNUAAUGACGUGGUCCCGUUAUCAAGUGACAACACUUGUUCAUAAUCAGAAGACACUGACUAUCAUCGAUCAACUGGCUAGCCAACUAGAGGCAUGCUAGGGACGGUGUUUUGUCUAUGUAUCCACACAUGUAAAUGAGUCUUCAUUCAAUACAAUUAUAGCAUGGAUAAUAAACUAUUAUCUUGAUACAGGAAUUAUAAUAAUAACUAUACAUUUAUUAUUGCCUCUAGGGCAUAAUUCCAACACAAACAGUACCCGACUGAAGCAGGCUGUAUAAAACUAAGGGUUAAUAGNNNNNNNNNNAUCUAGGGCAUAAUUCCAACAGUCUCCCACUUGCACUAGACUCAAUAAUCUAGCCCUCACAUCACCAUGUGAAUUACAUUGUAAUAAAUCUAACACCCAUACAGUUCUGGUGUCGAUCAUGUUUUGGCCGUGGAAGAGGUUGAGUCAGCGGGUCUGCUACAUUCAGAUCCGUGUGCACUUUGCAUAUAUUUACGUCCUCCUCCUCGACGUAGUCGCGGAUGAGGUUGAAGCGUCGUUUGAUGUGUCUGGUCUUCUUGUGAAACCUUGGUUCCUUUGCUAAGGCAAUGGCACCAGUGUUGUCACAGAACAAGGUUAUUGGAUCCAGUGCACUUGGCACCACUCCAAGAUCCGUCAUGAACUGCUUCAUCCAGACACCCUCCUUAGCCGCCUCCGAGGCAGCCAUGUACUCCGCUUCACAUGUAGAAUCUGCUACGACGCUUUGCUUGGAACUGCACCAGCUUACUGCACCCCAUUAAGAAUAAAUACNNNNNNNNNNNNNNNNNNNNNNNNNNNNNNNNNNNNNNNNNNNNNNNNNNNNNNNNNNNNNNNNNNNNNNNNNNNNNNNNNNNNNNNNNNNNNNNNNNNNAUACCUCUCGAUCCGGGUGUUCUUCUGAAAGAUAAACUUCAACUCCUGGAACAUCUCAAAUGCUCCAUGACGCUCAAAGCGACGUUGAAGUCCCGGUUCCAAGCCAUACAAGACUGCACAUUGAACUAUUGAGUAGUCCUCCUUACGUGCUAACCAAGCGUUCUUAACAUCCUGAUCAGCCGUAGCGGGUGGUUCAUCUCCUAGCGCAGCAUUCAGGACAUAAUCCUUCUUUCCAGCUUGUAAGAUUAGCUUAAGAUUACGAGCCCAGUCUACAAAGUUGCUUCCAUCAUCUUUCAACUUAGCUUUCUCUAGGAACGUAUUAAAAGUCAGGAUGACACUUGCGUGAGCCAUGAUCUACAACACAAAUAUAUUCAAAGUGGACUUAGACUAUGUUCAAGAUAAUUAGAGUUCAACUUAAUCAAAUUAUAUGCUAAACUCCCACUCAAAAAGUACAUCUCUCUAGUCAUUUGAGUGGUUCAUGAUCCACUUACACUAUCCCAAGUCCGAUCAUCACGUGAGUUGAGUAUAGUUUCAGUGGUAAGCAUCCCUNNNNNNNNNNNNNNNNNNNNNNNNNNNNNNNNNNNNNNNNNNNNNNNNNNNNNNNNNNNNNNNNNNNNNNNNNNNNNNNNNNNNNNNNNNNNNNNNNNNNCCGGCCGCCGCCCGCCCUCCGCCCGCAGCAGGCUGGACGCCUCUCCUCCACCUCCUCCCGCGCGCGCCCCCCGGCCGCCGCUCGCCCCUCCACCUCCUCCCCCCCGCGGCCUGCCCCUGGUAACCUGCGCCCGCCUGAUUAUUGUUUUCUUCAAACCGUUAUUGAGAUGAUGAAAAUUAUGAUAUGUGAAAUGACAGUUUUAAAGGCACCGUCCUGUUUUCCAACUAUUAAAAAUGUCAAAAAAAUGUCAAUUUUCAACUGUUAAACUGAUUUUAGGAUUUGAGCGCACUAGUAGCAGCGAUUCUCUUAUUCUUCUUCCCCACCCAUCCUCUUCACCCCCGCUCUCAUUCCCAUUCCCCGCACCCCUCAAUUGCAUCGGAGCAUUAUUUUUGCUAAAUGGUCCCUUCACAGGAUCUUAUGUAUGUACCAGAGCAUCUACAGCCGGCCCCUGGAUCUGGAACCCGAGUGGAUACCCAUCCCAUCCGGAUCCGGAUCUUGACCGACCCCUUCCCCCGCCGGCGACGAGCCCUAGCUAGCUCGGACCAGUCCUGGUGCGAGAGGCCACCGGCGGCAAGGCUGCGUGCGGUGGCGGAGCAUGCACUGCGAGCGCUCUACUCGGAUCUGACCGAACCCCGUCGCCGCGCCCGUCCCGCUCGCCGUGGCCGAUGAUCGCGCGCGUCGGCUGGGGCCGCGUCCCUCCCCAGAUGGCGGCGAUGAUGGAGGGAGCCGCCGGCACCAGCCCCCUCCCGCCUCGCCGGACCGCGCAUCGGCUUGGAGGCCCCUCGGGACUGCCGCCGGUGCGGGGGGGCGUCCGCGGCCUUGCGGGCUGGGGACCGAGCGGGAUCUGAGCCGCCGUCGAUGGAUUUCUCGCAGCCUGGCUUCGUUUUUCUUUGGAUCCGGUGCGUGCGUGCGUGCAAGCUCUCUCUCUCUCUCUCUCUCGGUGCGUGCGUGCGCGCAGUUCACACCACUAGACCCAAACCCUAAACCAAAUCAGGGGAGCUCUCGUUGCCGGAUCGCUGGCCUAUCGUCCGGAUGUCCGCCGCGUCAGUUCCCCACAGCUACGGUGCCGCCAGCCACCGCCGUUCCAUUGCCUUGGAUUCGGCUGUGCUCGUGGGCUGGGAACCGUGCUCUGUUGUCUGAUGCGUCGUUGGAGCGGGAGGUUUGAUCGGUCGAGGCCAGGUAUGAGCAGCUCCUUUGCUGGCUGGAUGGAUGGAUGUAGGUCAUAUGUCGUGAACUAACACCACGACACCUCUUUUGGAACGGAGGGAGUAUGUAUGUACGUAUGGAUGUCAUGGUCAUGUUGCUUGGGGGUUCAACCUCUUUUUGCGUUAGGGUUCACUUCGUGUGUUCUUUCGCUCCAGGGGUCAUUUUUGUCAAUUUUGCCCCCCUCCCCAUUAUUUUUGCUAAAUGGCCCCUUCACAGGAGUAUGUAGCAGAGCAUCUACAGCCAUACAUGGAUCUGGAACCGGAGCGGAUACCCAUCCGGGUCCAGAUCUCGACCGACCCCUUCUCCCGCUGGUGACGAGCCCCUAGCUAGCUAGCUCGGACCAGCCCGGCUGCGAGAGGCCACCGGUGGCAUGGCUGCGUGCGGCGGCAAGGCCGCGUGUAAUGCGAGCGCUCUACUUGGAUCUGUCCGAAUCCUGGCGAGCCCUGUCUCCCGCUCGCCGUGGCCGCUGAUCGCGCUCGUCGGCUGGGGCCGCGUCCCUCCUCAUACGGCGGCGAUGAUGGAGGGAGCCGCCGGCGC